GGGGGCAGGAGCGGGACGCGGAUAGGGCACAAUGCGGGAGCCGCCGGCGUCGGGGCGCUGCAGCACAGCGGGAACGGAGUCUGGCUCCAGGUCUGUUGUGGACGCUGUAUGAAUAUCUAAAAGGCAUGUGUCAACGGGACGUAGCCAGGCUUUCCUCAGUGGUGCCGAGCGAUAGGACAAAAGGCACUGAGCACAAACUGAUGCAAAAGUUCCACCUGAACACCAGGAGGAACUUCUUUGCCGUGCAGGUGACCGAGCGCUGGAACAGAUUGUCCAGAGAGGUUGUGGAGUCUCCCCCACGGGAGAUACUCAAGAACUGUCUAGACACAAGCCUGUGCUACGUGCUCCUGGAUGAUUUUGCUUGAGCAGACAGGUUGGGCCAAAUGACCUCGUGUCUUCCAGCCUGACCCAUUCUGUGACUCUGGAUCGCUGCCAGCGAGGUCCCGGCGCGGCCGCGGGGUGCCCAGCCCAGCCCAGCUCCCCUUCCUUUUGCCCUCCGUUUUAAUGAACGUCAUGUGCUAGAGAUUACGAACUCCCCAUUGCUUUGGAUGUCCUUCUUAAUGGAACUUAUUGGUGCAGGGAGAAAAUGGAAAGUGAGAGAUCUCAAAGUAUGCAUAUACAUUCAUAAAUAGAAGAUGACCUUCAGAAUCAGAGAAUUUUUAAGGCUGAAAAAGUCCUUCAUGUCCAAACAUCAGCUCAGCACCACCACUACGUUCACCAUUACAUCACGUCCUCAAGUGGUCCUUCACACACUUCUUAGAACACUUCAGAGAGGAAGUCUGUUUUAAUGCUUUACAGCCCUUUCCUGCUUACAGAGGGGAUAACUAUUAUAUUUUAAAUUUUUUGGUGAUUAUUUUAGCUGUGUGAUUGGAUCCUGGAAGUCAUGCUGUACAGCUUACUUAGUAGUAAAUACUUUUUUAGUAGCCUAUAAAAAUACAUGACUGGGGAGCCUAUCUUUGUCUGAAAACUUGUCUCUCUGCAUAAAUGUCAGUAAUCUGUGACUCAAUUAAUUGCUUGUAUUGCUUUGUCAACAAUAUUACAUGAACACAAUAUGAUUUAUGCAAACUUAUAAGCUUAUUUUCACUUACAACACCUCUGAUGUCCUUGCCUUUCCACACAGUGUUUAGACUGGUAUGUGUUUGUUACCUUCUCUAAGUCCAUGGAUUGUCCCACUAAAAGGUAUAUUCCUAAGACUGAAUUUCCUACAAAUCAUAAAGUUAUUAAAGUUGGAAAAGACCUGUAAGUCUAACUUUGACUAAAUGCCACCAUGUCAACUAAACUGUAGCCCUAAGUUGCAUGUCUAGUUGUUUACUGAACACGUCCUGGAAUGGUACACUACCGGCUCCCUGGUUAGCUUGUUCCAAUGCUUAAGCACUCUUUCAGUGACAGAAUUCUUUCUCAUGUCCAACCUGAACCUGCCCCAGCACAUCUUGAGGCUAUGUGUUCUUCUCCAGUUACUAAUUGCCUAGGAGAAGAGGCCCUUGCGUGCUGCACUCUCAGGUAGUUGUAAGAGUGGGAUAAGAUCACUCCUGAACAUCCUUUUCUCCUUUUUCUACAAGCUAAACACCUCCAGCUCUCUCAGCUGCUUCUCAUAAGAUUUGUGCUCCAGGCCCUUCAUCAGCUCCACUGCCUUUCUCUGGAUAUGCUCCACACUCCUCAGCGCCCCACGUCAGGAUCUGCUGCUGACCCCUAAUCUUUUUUCGGCUGGGCAGUUUUCCAGUCUGUCUCUACCUUAAGCCAGUAGCAGUGAAUGGGGUUGUGACCCAAGGGCAGGACUCAGCACCUGACGUUGUUGAACCUCAUACCACUGGCCUCAGCUUAUUGACCCAGUCUGUCCAGAUCCCUCUGCAGAGCAUUCCUGCCCUCCAUCAGAUCAACUCUCCCACCCAGCUUGGUGUUGUUUGCAAACUGAGGUGGUACUCAAUCCCCUCAUCCAAAUAAUUGAUAAAGACAUUAAACAGAACCAGCCCCAGCAGUGAGUCCUAGCAAACAGUUUCUCCAGGAAGAAGCUGUGGGAGAGAGAGUAUCAAAGGUUUUACUGAAGUCCAGGUAGACAAAAUCCACAGCCUUUCUCUCAUCUGCUAGGUGGGUCACUUGAUCAAACCUAGAGAUUUAAAUUUGAUGGAACCCAUUCUGCUCCACAAGACAGUAUUACUGUUGCUGCAAUUUUCAGACAUGCAUGCCUGGCUCCCCAUUAAGCUUUUACUUGAUGGCUCUAUAAUUUGCCAUCACCUUAUUUUCGUAUUUAUUAUUUUCUCUGGGUAAAUUAAAUGUAAAUUGUUUGGAAUAGUUUUGUAUGCUUGUCAAAGAUUCUACUUAAAGUGUUAAAAAUUUUGUGAAACCAAAAGAAUAUUGAAUCACUGUAUUAACUCUUCAGAAAAAAUUCAAUGGAUAAACAGUUCACUUUUGCAAUCUGUAUUGUGUUUGAAAACAAAGCUAGGGUGUAUUCCUGCUGUCUUUGAAUCUGAAUUUGCAUCUGAAUUGGUAAGAAUUGUCAUGUAAAUAAGAUCAGCAAUGCUACUUCAUUUGUACACCAGAGUUGGGUUUUCUAAAGAUAAAGUUGUCCUCCAUAGAAAUAAAUCCUAAAUUUGGAACCAGUUUACCUGCCCCAAAAAAACCAAUUCUAGGUUCAAUUGUUCAGUGACCUUUAACUUUCCACUGACUUUCUAUUUCCAUUAACAAAUGUUUAGCUAGUAAAAAUAGGAGUUCUGCACAGAACAGUCUUUUGGAUUAAAUAAUCAAGAUGAAUAUUCAAUUAUGUUCUUCAUUCUUUGUUUACAUUGAGUGAAAAAAAAUAAUAGAUUUCAGUAACUGAUACGAGUAUUUUAAUUAGGCCCAUUACUAUCAUUAAUUUUUUUCUUGAAUCACUCUUUGCCAGUCUUUAAUUUGAGCUACUGCUGGGCCCUCUUUUUUCAGUAGAAAAUUCUCAUCUUUUUAAUUGAUUUAUUUUUGUCAUGUGCCAAGAGAUAGAUAAAAACAGAGCUGUUUUAAAACAUUAUUUUCAUAACUAACUUAAAUAAACUGACUCUGACUUCAAAA